GGCUGAAGCAGGAGAAUCACUUGAACCCGGGAGAGGGAGACUGCAGUGAACCAAGAUCGUACCACCACACUCCAGCCUGGGUGACAGAGCGAGACUCUGUCUGAAAAAAAAGAAAAUUGAUGUGACUACUGUAUGAUUCCACUUAUACGAGGUACUUAGAAUAGUUAGAUUCACAGAGACAGAAAGUAGAAUAGUGGUUAUCAGAGACCAAGGGGAUGGAGGAGCUGCUCACGGCGAGUUAUUGCUUAAAGGGUACAGAGUUUCAGUUUGGGAUGAUAAAAAAUUCUGGAGCUGGUUGGGAGUGAUUAUUGCACAACAGUGUGAAUAUACUUAAUGCCACUGAACUGUACACCUAAAAUGAUUAAACAGUAAAUUUUAUGUCAAAUAUAUUUUACCAUAAUAACAUUUUUAAAAACUGAUGGGAAAUAUUGUCUUUGUAACGGAAUAGUUGCAAAUAGUUUGUUAAUUGUUCAAACCACCUUGGUACUUGCUCAUUUGGUUGAGGGAGAUUGGAGGGAAGACAUUGCAAAAGGUGUUUUGCUAGUUUGUACUACAAGAUUUCAGAUUACUUGUUGCCUGGUAUAGUAGCUGCACUUCUUUAAACUUUGCUAUACUGUAUAUAAAGCCAGGAAUGUUUUUCUCAAGGACAUGGCAGCUACCUCUUUGAAAUAUAAUCUUCAAGGGAGAUAGUUUUCCUAACUCUUACUUUUGUGGGAGGGUAGGAGUCUAACUUCAGUGGCUGACUUGCUCCAAGCUGCAAAACUGCCUCCUGUCUUAGAGAUAUGAAACAUCUGUUUCUUCUUUGGAUAAAGCCAACUAGCAAACAAAGACAACCCCCAAUUAACAGAUACAUUUAAGAUGGACUAUAUGUGAUGAAUGAUGCUGUCAACUCCUCUUACUUGGGGACAAGUUAUCAUUUACCAUGAGAAUAUGUAUAUCAUAGGUUGUACCUGCUUGACAUCACAAAAUACGCCACAAAAAAGGGGUGAAAUGUAUCCCUUUCUUGGCUGGGUGCAAUGUCUCACGCCUGUAAUCCCAGCACUUUGGGAGGCAAAGGUGGGUGGAUCACCUGAGCCCAGGAUUUCCAGACCAGCCUGGGCAACAUGGUGAGAUCCCCGUCUCUACAAAAAAUACAAAAAUUAGCUGGGUGUGAUGGCACGCCCCCUGCACUCCCAACUACUUGGGAGGCUGAGGUAGGAGGAUGGAUUGAGCCCAAGAGGUCAAGACUGCAGUGAGCUGUGAUUGUACCACUGCAUUCCAACCUGGGUGACAGAGUGAGACCCUUUCUCAAAAACAAAAAAACAA
rnacentral:lncRNA from 1 species